rnacentral:rRNA from 1 species
GAUGAACGCUGACAGAAUGCUUAACACAUGCAAGUCUUUGGCGAAGCUGUGCUUGCACAGCCUAGCCAAGGCGGACGGGUGAGUAACGCGUAAGGAACUUGCCCUGCAGUCAGGGAUAACAGACGGAAACGACUGAUAAGACCUGGUAAAGUCAGGCGGACUCAUGUCCAGCCUGAUGAAAAGAGAUGCUGCAGGAGAGCCUUGCGUCCUAUUAGCUUGUUGGUGGGGUAACGGCCCACCAAGGCGAUGAUAGGUAGCCGGCCUGAGAGGGUGGACGGCCACAAGGGGACCGAGAUACGGCCCUUACUCCUACGGGAGGCAGCAGUGGGGAAUAUUGGACAAUGGGGGCAACCCUGAUCCAGCAAUUCUGUGUGCACGAUGAAGGUUUUCGGAUUGUAAAGUGCUUUCAGCAGGGAAGAAAAAAAUGACGGUACCUGCAGAAGAAGCGACGGCUAAAUACGUG